GAAAGCUGCUGUAACUACACCCGGAAGGAAGCCUCGAGGUCGACCGAAAAAAUCAGAGAAAGAUGAAGAAGAGGUCAACAUCUCCCAGGAGUCUUCAGAAGAGGAGCAAUGAGAAUAGCCAACUGAUUCUACCUCACAGCUCAGUUUUCCUAUUUCUUGUCAAGUUCUGGGACUGAGGAAGGAACGAAGAAUCCUCACCCCUUUCCUGACCUGAUCUCUCCAACGUUCUCACAGUCAAAACAGCAACACUAGAGUACAGUGUAAAAACAGAUCAACCAUCAUAUUUGAUGUGUAAUGUUUAAUGGGAGAACUUUGUAUUUUGUUUUCCCCUCUCAUUUGACAGGGUUAAGAGUUUAGCCUACCAAUCCAUGUAGUUCUGUAUUAUAUCUGUUUUUUGAUCUAUUUCUCCAGAACACUCCUUAUCGAGAAAGGGGUUUAUAAAUCUUUAUAGUAACCACUUAUUCAUGUUGAAAAGAGUGGACAGCCUAGUUCUUCCUUAUCAAUCCUAAUUUCCGCUUCAGAGAGACCAUAAUACUCUCCAAAAGGGUAACUUGGCACUUGACAGAAAGCUUGCCGUGAAGGAGGAUUGAGAGCAUUGUGCGGAUUUUAUUUUUUCUGGGAAAUGAGUAUAGUGGGAUAAAGGCCACAACAUUAAAAGGAUGAAGACAUUAUUUUUUCCUAUUGUAAGGCAUUUGCAAGAAUAAUUGAGAGGAAGUUAUCCUAUCUUUUUCACCCACUUUCCAGUAGUUCAAGAAUAAUCUAGUCCUUUGCAAUGGGCCUGUGUAUUCUUGUUGACAACAUGCUGCCCUGCCCCAAUCAGCUGCCUUAAGGCCAAAGCAUUUAGGAUUGCAACAGGCUGAGGUGUUUGGGGUGAAUCUGACCUAAAUUCUCAUCUUUUCCCCAGGAACCAGAGAUCUUUUUUUUUUCCUUUUUUUUUUUUCCCUUCUCCAUUCUGUCCCCAGCUGCCAGUGCACAAACGGGAGCGUACAACUGAAAUGUUUUUCACUUGGUGCUCAGUCAUUCUGCACAAAAAGGAUAUUGAACAAGACAUUGCCAUGACCAAGGAAAGCAGGAUGGCAAAAUUCUCUCCCUUCGUGGUCUCUCUGGGUUUUUGUGAUUUUUCUCCAUUGGGAAUAGCACAGUUAGCAGUUGACAGUUGUCUUUCCAAUAUACAUUGUCUGUCAAGGUUUUCAUUUUUCAUUCACAACUACCUCUGGAUACGUUUGAGUUUCAUUCUCUUAAAACAUAGAUUGCUGCUGUUUGUUGCUGCUGUACUGAUUACAAAGUUUUAUUUCAACAGGUUCUGUCUGGUUUUUCUCUGGAACUGACAUUUUACACUAUAGAUAAUUUCGUUUCAGUUGACUUUUAAAACUAUUGUGCUAUUAAAAAGGGAUAAAAGCUUG